rnacentral:rRNA from 1 species
AGCAGCCGCGGUAAUUCCAGCUCCAAUAGCGUAUAUUAAAGUUGUUGCAGUUAAAAAGCUCGUAGUUGAAUUUCGGAAUCAAUAUGUCGGUCGUGCCUUGGUACGUACUGGUAUCGUUGGUUUCUCCUUUCUGACGAACCAUGAUGUCAUUAAUUUGGUGUUAUGGGAAGUUAGGACUGUUACUUUGAAAAAAUUAGAGUGUUUAAAGCAGGCUUUGGCUUGAAUACAUUAGCAUGGAAUAAUGAAAUAGGACGUUCGAACCUAUUUUGUUGGUUUCUAGGAUCAACGUAAUGAUUAAUAGGGAUAGUUGGGGGCAUUAGUAUUCAAUUGUCAGAGGUGAAAUUCUUGGAUUUAUUGAAGACUAACUACUGCGAAAGCAUUUGCCAAGGAUGUUUUCAUUAAUCAAGAACGAAAGUUAGGGGAUCGAAGACGAUCAGAUACCGUCGUAGUCUUAACCAUAAACUAUGCCGACUAGGGAUCGGAUGAUGUUAAUUUUUAAUGACUCAUUCGGCGCCUUACG